CACGUAGGGGGCAAGCGUUGUCCGGAUUUAUUGGGCGUAAAGAGCGUGUAGGCGGCCAAGCAGGUCCGCUGUGAAAACUCGAGGCUCAACCUCGAGACGUCGGUGGAAACCGUUUGGCUAGAGUCCGGAAGAGGAGAGUGGAAUUCCCGGUGUAGCGGUGAAAUGCGCAGAUAUCGGGAAGAACACCCGUGGCGAAGGCGGCUCUCUGGGACGGUACUGACGCUGAGACGCGAAAGCGUGGGGAGCGAACAGG
rnacentral:rRNA from 1 species